GAUGAAGAACGCAGCGAAAUGCGAUAAGUAGUGUGAAUUGCAGAAUUCAGUGAAUCAUCGAAUCUUUGAACGCACAUUGCGCCCUUUGGUAUUCCUUAGGGCAUGCCUGUUCGAGCGUCAUUUAAACCUUCAAGCUAAGCUUGGUGUUGGGUGACUGUCCGCUUCACGGCGGACUCGCCUCAAAAUUAUUGGCGGCCGGUACAUUGGCUUCGAGCGCAACAGAAACGCGAACUCGGGCCCGUCGUAUUGGCUCCCAGAAGCUAUCUUCACAAUUUUGACCUCGGAUCAGGUAGGGAUACCCGCUGAACUUAAGCAUAUCAAUAAGCGGAGGA
rnacentral:misc_RNA from 1 species